UCUUUGUAACUGCUAUUAGCAGCUAACAGUUGCUAACAAAGACCUGCUGGUAGUAGGUAAUAUUUCCUGGAUCGGGUGCCAUGAUCAGAGACA